rnacentral:lncRNA from 1 species
CAGGGAAGAGACUGUCCCAUCUCCUAACACUGUCCUUGUUCAGGAAGAAAACCCUUAUGUUCCUCCAUAAAAUUCCUGCAUGGUGAAAGGGAAAAUUUUCUCAAGAUCCCAGUCUCUGCUGGCUUCUGGAUUGUCAGAUGGAAUAUGAUGCAUGAUGUCCUAAAUGGGUUGAUUCCUGGUUACCUGAAGGAGAGAGACUGAUACUGCUGCUUGCAAGACUGUUGGAGGUAUCUGGGCUAAUAGACUCUUCAGUCACAAGAUGGUUGCCACAGAAGGAUCCAGGACUUUUCUUGAAAAUUAGUUUCCCCCAUCAGGACACAAGGACACAACAUAAAUAAUGACAGAAGAAAGUGAGGCUGAGAAGUUACUUGUCCUUAUGGCCCAGACAACUAUCAGCAGAGCCAGACCCAGAGUCCAGCUCCUAGACCUAGAUCUUAGCUUGUUGGACUGCGGGGCCACUGGAUGCCAACAGAUACCAUGCGGUCAUCUGGCAGGUUGAAUAAGGAAGGCUUUCCUGUCCCCUUCAAAGGAAACAAGUUUAAAACCAUGGGGGCAGGGGAUGGCACCAUGCUCAGCACAGCCCAGAUUCAGCAGGAAUGAGAUGCAGCCAGCAUCAGCAAGACAAAGGCAGAGAUAAUGAAAACGGGAACUAACCCAAAGAAUUAAGGGAGUCACACAGCAUCUGAUGAGAGCUGAAAGAAAAGCCCGGCUGGUGUUUCUGAGCUCUGUGUGGUCGCCUCCACUGCAAGUGACCCGCCCCAUCGCAGGAUGCCAGGAGGUGAGGAUGUGACAAGCAGGUCCCACCUCAGUAGGUCCCAUCACAGUCACAGCAUGAGGUGCUCCUGGCCAGCUACAGGAAGAGAAGCGAUAUUAAUGGAGUUUUGUCUUCCCCCUCUGGCACGGUUUUGCUGAGAGAUGGGAAAUGGAGGGAAGGAGUUAAUCUCUGUGCAGUCAGACCGUGCCUCCUCCCUGCUAUUUUCUCUCCCAC